AUCAGGCCCUUCGUCUAUGAACAAACAGACAGACACAUUAGUGGAGAUAUUUGGAGGCGUUGAAGGUCAUCGAGAUGAAGUCCUGAGUGCUGAUUUUGAUCUCUUGGGUGAAUAAAUGAUGUCAUGUGUGAUGGACCACUCCUUAAAACUUUGGCGGAUUAAUUCAGAGAGAAUGCAGAAAGCCGUUGGCGGAUCUUACGAGUUCAACCCCUCCAAGACCAACAGAUUGCAGGAAGUUUGCUGGCAACUGGACCAUCUUACUGUUAGAACAGAUGGAAAGAAAAUUCAUAUUAUCAACCUAAACAGAGACUUUAAAAAGCUGAAACACCACCCUCAAGGUCAGAAUAGUUCAUUCUCCUUCUCUGGUGAGAUAUGUGUUAAGUUAGCGUUAAGGAUACAUACAGUAUAAUAAUAUUUUGUAGGAUUUUGUGUGUUAUUUGAAAAGGGCCAGUUUGUCAUAUUCUUGUUGGUUCUGUGUCAAUUCACCCUGAAUUCAAGAAAUGAUGAAGAGGGAUGUCUAUGUUCCUAUUAUAUGAACCGCAGUUUUGAUUCACUUUAACCAAGUUGAAAGAAAUAUUGAUGUUACGUGUGUGUGUCACAGGCCAGAGAUUCAAAAAGUGUGUAUUUGUGUGUUUGUGCGAGGAGAUAAAAGAUAGAAUGUGAAAAAGAAAAAGUGCAAAUCAGAGCUUUUUAAAUGAUGAAGGUUAACAAGCUGCAUGUUUUUAGUUGUUCUGUUAAUUCACUAUAGUACAGUACAGAGUAUUAACUCUUGAAACACAAAGCAGUUCUUUCUGUGUGUGUGUGUGUGUUAUUCUACAGGGUUUUCUAUGGGGUUGUUCUGUAUUAUUUUUAUCAAAUCAGACUCUCACUAACUAGUCUCACGUGCUUUUACCUACAAACUUCAUUCAAAUGUAAGAAUGUGCAGCAUCUUUAUGAAAUGUGCACAUCUAUUCAAUUUAGCUGUUUUUAGUAAUUGAAAUAUCAAAGUAUCUUUCUUUUUUCUGUAUGAUGUCGCUCCCUCGCACAGGUAUACGGCUAAUUUGACUUCUCCACAGGAAAGCGUGUGAUCACCAGGGCGGCGAUGUGGGUCAGUGGUCUGUUGUGUCACA